GACCUCAAAUCAGGUAGGACUACCCGCUGAACUUAAGCAUAUCAAUAAGCGGAGGAAAAGAAACUAACAAGGAUUCCCCUAGUAACUGCGAGUGAAGCGGGAAAAGCUCAAAUUUAAAAUCUGGCGGUCUUUUGGCUGUCUGAGUUGUAAUCUAGAGAAGUGUUAUCCGCGCUGGACCGUGUACAAGUCUCCUGGAAUGGAGCAUCAUAGAGGGUGAGAAUCCCGUCUUUGACAUGGACUGCCAGGGCUUUGUGAUGCGCUCUCAAAGAGUCGAGUUGUUUGGGAAUGCAGCUCAAAAUGGGUGGUAAAUUCCAUCUAAAGCUAAAUAUUGGCGAGAGACCGAUAGCGAACAAGUACCGUGAGGGAAAGAUGAAAAGAACUUUGGAAAGAGAGUUAAACAGUACGUGAAAUUGCUGAAAGGGAAACGCUUGAAGUCAGUUAUGUUGUCCAGGGAUCAACCUUGCUUUUGCUUGGUGCACUUUCUGGUUUGACAGGUCAGCAUCAAUUUUGACUAUUGGAAAAAGGCUUUGGGAAUGUGGCAUCUUUGGAUGUGUUAUAGCCCUUGGUCAUAUACAAUGGUUGGGAUUGAGGAACUCAGCAYGCCGCAAGGCCGGGUUUAACCACGUACGUGCUAGA
rnacentral:rRNA from 1 species